ACGUAGGACGCGAACGUUAUCCGGAGUUACUGGGCGUAAAGCGCGCGCAGGCUGUAUGUUAAGUUACCUAUGAAAGGUAUCGGCUAAACUGGUAUAAGUUAGGUAGGACUGGCGUACUAGAGAGAAAUAGAGGGAAGUAGAAUUCCGGGUGUAGUGGUGAAAUGCGUAGAUAUCCGGAGGAAUACCGGUGGCGAAGGCGGCUUCCUGGAUUUCCACUGACGCUGAGGCGCGAAAGCGUGGGUAGCGAACGGG
rnacentral:rRNA from 1 species